CAGUCGAGCGGGGGAAGGUAGCUUGCUACCGGACCUAGCGGCGGACGGGUGAGUAAUGCUUAGGAAUCUGCCUAUUAGUGGGGGACAACAUCUCGAAAGGGAUGCUAAUACCGCAUACGUCCUACGGGAGAAAGCAGGGGAUCUUCGGACCUUGCGCUAAUAGAUGAGCCUAAGUCGGAUUAGCUAGUUGGUGGGGUAAAGGCCUACCAAGGCGACGAUCUGUAGCGGGUCUGAGAGGAUGAUCCGCCACACUGGGACUGAGACACGGCCCAGACUCCUACGGGAGGCAGCAGUGGGGAAUAUUGGACAAUGGGGGGAACCCUGAUCCAGCCAUGCCGCGUGUGUGAAGAAGGCCUUAUGGUUGUAAAGCACUUUAAGCGAGGAGGAGGCUACUUUAGUUAAUACCUAGAGAUAGUGGACGUUACUCGCAGAAUAAGCACCGGCUAACUCUGUGCCAGCAGCCGCGGUAAUACAGAGGGUGCGAGCGUUAAUCGGAUUUACUGGGCGUAAAGCGUGCGUAGGCGGCUUAUUAAGUCGGAUGUGAAAUCCCCGAGCUUAACUUGGGAAUUGCAUUCGAUACUGGUGAGCUAGAGUAUGGGAGAGGAUGGUAGAAUUCCAGGUGUAGCGGUGAAAUGCGUAGAGAUCUGGAGGAAUACCGAUGGCGAAGGCAGCCAUCUGGCCUAAUACUGACGCUGAGGUACGAAAGCAUGGGGAGCAAACAGGAUUAGAUACCCUGGUAGUCCAUGCCGUAAACGAUGUCUACUAGCCGUUGGGGCCUUUGAGGCUUUAGUGGCGCAGCUAACGCGAUAAGUAGACCGCCUGGGGAGUACGGUCGCAAGACUAAAACUCAAAUGAAUUGACGGGGGCCCGCACAAGCGGUGGAGCAUGUGGUUUAAUUCGAUGCAACGCGAAGAACCUUACCUGGCCUUGACAUACUAGAAACUUUCCAGAAAUGGAUUGGUGCCUUCGGGAAUCUAGAUACAGGUGCUGCAUGGCUGUCGUCAACUCGUGUCGUGAAAUGUUGGGUUAAAUCCCGCAACGAGCGCAACCCUUUUCCUUACUUGCCAGGCAUUUCGG
rnacentral:rRNA from 1 species